rnacentral:rRNA from 1 species
UAGGGAAUUUUCGGCAAUGGGGGAAACCCUGACCGAGCAACGCCGCGUGAAGGAAGAAGGUUUUCGGAUUGUAAACUUCUGUUAUAAAGGAAGAACGGCGGCUACAGGAAAUGGUAGCCGAGUGACGGUACUUUAUUAGAAAGCCACGGCUAACUACGUG